UUUUUCUGCUCAACCUGACAGCACUGGCUCAAGAUGUCUUCCAAAGAUGCGAAAAAGCUACAUGUUAAGUAUCUUCUGCUGAUGGUGAUGGUCUACGCAGCAUCGCAACCAGACGAAAAGGAGAGAACGCUUCUCAAGAUGAUUGGAAAUGAAGCCAAAGAUUUGACUGACAAAAAUGUAAGAAAUCUACUAACUGCAUGUUGUUGAAUGUGUUUUAUGACAUACUGACAUUUUCAUCUUGUCAUUCUUGAAGCUAAGCAUAGAUGUGCGAAUGAUAACAGGAAACCAAACACCAUGUCCGGUAUGUUGGAAAUCUUUUACAUUUAUUGAUAUUACAGUGGUUUAAGACAUCUGUGACUGUGUUGGACAACAUUACUAACAGUGGAUUUGACCUCACAGAAGAACUUCUUCUGCUUGGCGGAGCAAGUUCUGGAGGAAGCAAAGAAAAAACAUCCAAAUAUCACCGAAGAUGUUGACUAUCUCUAUCGCAACCUGUGUAGCUACAACAAGAUUAAGAAUGUCACGUGUCACCUGAAAACAAAUGGAUUUUAUCACAUACAGACAUUUCUGGAAAAAAUCCAAUGUUGUGUAAACUACACCUUGAACCACGGUCAUCCCAGAAGAUGAUGUGACAGACACCAGUUAUUUAUUGUCUAAUGUAAUAUUUAUUUUCUUACACGUUGUUUUUGCAGGUUUCAUACUUAUGCAUAAAUAAAUCAUAUGGGCAUCUCAGAUCUUUUUUUUUUCCUUCAUCAGCAAUGCAUCCUCAUCAUUACAAGUUACAUUAAUUAGUUUCUGGGUUUAGAGAUGCAGUUAAAAAUCAGCCGUUUCUGGCUGUAGCCUGCAUCCUGAUCAUCUAUAUAACCAUGGUGGCUUCUCCUUUGACGCGUCAAUACCAAAGUCACAGUGUCAGCUUGAUGGCACUAUAAGUAGCAGUGAGAGAGUGUGAGGAGUUCAACUUUCCUGCUCAACCUGAGGGCGCUGACCCAACGUGUCUAGAAAAGACAUGAGGAACUUAUAUGUUCAAAUUCUUGUAUUGAUGAUGGUUGUGAUGGUCUACACACCAUCGCUGCAAAAUACUGGUAGACCACUGUUGCACACGAUGCUCAACACAGCGCAAGAAGCCACAAGACAGACUGAAAAAGUUGUAAGAAAACCACUAACUGCAUGUUGUUGAAUGUGUUUUAUGACACAUAAAAUAUAUUGUGAUAUACUGGAUACAUUUUCUCUCAAAUGACUUUAUAAGAACUACAACAUAAUUCUAUACACGAUAUUUCAUUCAUUUUAUUUGAAAUAAUCACAUCUUACUGUGUUCUGUAAAAAACAAGUGGACAGGCGUCGAGUUACAAAAGCUGUCAAACUAACGCAUAGUGAAGCUGACAGGGUUUUAUUUUUUUUCUUCCUGUCACACACAUUUUCCCCUUCCUUCCUAAUGUGUGUGUUAAGUUAAAAAUUGAUUACAUAUUUCCCCGUGUGCCUACACAACCAAGUCAGUUUGGCCUGUCAUACAGGAGAGACACAGGUGCUCCAGUAAAAUUAGAAAUACAACUCAUCAUUAUUAAUGCAGCUAUGUGUGGGAAAGACAAUAAGGAAAUCAGCAUCAUGGUGGCUUCAAAAAAAAAAAAAUUACACAUCAGAUAUUAAUACUGGGUAAUGACCUGCAAUUCUUGGUGGCAACUCUGGAGAUAAUGAAUGACCAGAUAAUUUCUUAGUAAAAGAUCAAAUUUGAUAACAGUCUGACGUAUCUAAGCAGUGGUUACAGUGGCGCUAUAAGUAGCAUCAGUAGUAAGACUGUGUAGGGAGUUCAACUUUUCUGCUCAACCUGACAGCACUGGCUCAAGAUGUCUUCCAAAGACGCGAAGAAGCUACAUGUUCGGUAUCUGCUGCUGAUGGUGAUCGUGAUGGUCUGCGCAGCAUCAGACGAAAAGGAGAAAAAGCUUCUCAAGACGAUUGGAAAAGAAGCCAAAGAUUUGACUGAGAAAAAUGUAAGAAAUCUACUAACUGCAUGUUGUCGAAUGUGUUUUAUGACAUACUGACAUUUUCAUCUUGUCAUUCUUGAAGCUAAGCAUAGAUGUGCGAAUGAUAACAGGAAACCACACACCAUGUCCGGUAUGUUGGAAAUCUUUUACAUUUAUUGAUAUUACAGUGGUUUAAGACAUCUGUGACUGUGUUGGACAACAUUACUAACAGUGGAUUUGACCUCACAGAAGAACUUCUUCUGCUUGGCGGAGCAAGUUCUGGAGGAAGCAAAGAAAAAACAUCCAAAUAUCCCCACAGAUGUUGGCAAUCUCUCUCACGGGCUGCAUAGCUACAACAAGGUAAAGGGGAGUUCAUGUAUGUCAGCGAGUUGUUUGUAGGCUCACACCGAGCCAAAGCGUCAAAUGAUUUACAGUGAAUCUAAACGGCAUAUCCUCUAAUAUUUAAUACCAUCUAUAAUGUUAAACAGGUUUUAUGUAAAUUUAGUCGUGUUUGGUAUUUUUUGUGAUCUUAAAAUGUGCAUUUUCAAAAUUAACUUUUUUUUUUCUUACUUCUUCAGAUUAAGAAUGUCACGUGUCACCUGAAAACAAGUGGCUUUUAUCCCAUACGGGCAUUUCUGGAAAAAAUCCAAUCUUGUGUAACCUACACCUUGAACCACGGUCAUCCCAGAAGAUGAUGUGACAGACAUCAGCUUUUAUUGUCUAAUGUAACAUUUAUUGUCUCACACAUUGUUUUUGUAGGUUUCAUACUUGCAUAAAUAAAUCAUAUGGGCAUCUCA